UGUAUAUCUAUAUAAAUUUUCUGGGGAGAGAAAGUCUAGAAAGAGAAAGAUAAAUCUAGCUUCAUUUCUGGAGAGAAAAAGCUGUGGUUUUUAGAGAGAGAAAGCUUCUCGUAGCUCUCUCUCUCUCUGUAUAUCUCUCGUUCUGGGUCUCUGAUCUCUCUGCUUUGUUUACGAGAUCUAGUGAUAAUUAGGUGAUAUUUGCGCAUUUCUAAGCGAAAACGGGGCUGUUAAGAUGUCAUCUCUUAGUAGAGAGCUUGUGUUCUUGAUCCUGCAGUUCCUUGAUGAGGAAAAGUUCAAAGAGACUGUUCACAAGCUUGAACAGGAAUCUGGGUUUUUCUUUAACAUGAAGUAUUUUGAGGAUGAGGUGCACAGUGGUAAUUGGGAUGAGGUGGAGAAGUAUCUCUCGGGUUUCACGAAAGUGGAUGAUAAUCGAUACUCCAUGAAAAUCUUUUUUGAGAUUAGGAAACAAAAGUAUCUUGAAGCAUUGGAUAAGCAUGAUCGUUCCAAGGCAGUGGAUAUAUUGGUGAAGGAUUUGAAAGUGUUUGCCACAUUCAAUGAGGAGCUUUUCAAAGAAAUCACUCAGCUAUUGACAUUGGAGAAUUUCAGGGAGAAUGAGCAACUAUCCAAGUAUGGAGACACAAAAUCGGCAAGAGCAAUUAUGUUGGUGGAGCUCAAGAAGCUUAUUGAAGCAAAUCCUCUGUUUCGUGAUAAAUUGCAGUUUCCUAACCUUAAGAAUUCAAGGCUACGGACUCUAAUUAACCAAAGCUUGAAUUGGCAACAUCAACUUUGUAAAAAUCCAAGGCCAAAUCCAGAUAUUAAAACUCUUUUUGUGGAUCAUUCAUGUGGGCAACCAAAUGGCGCUCGGGCUCCAUCACCUGCAAAUAAUCCUCUGCUUGGAUCUUUACCAAAACCUGGAGGGUUUCCUCCCCUUGGUGCGCAUGGGCCAUUCCAGCAUACACCAGCACCUGUUCCAGCACCUCUUGCUGGUUGGAUGUCUAAUCCUUCCACUGUAACUCAUCCAGCUGUUUCUGGAGGAGGAGCCAUUGGCCUUGGUGCUCCAUCAAUCCCAGCUGCUCUGAAGCAUCCAAGGACUCCUCCAACUAAUCCUUCUGUUGAUUAUCCAUCUGGAGAUUCCGAUCAUGUUGCAAAACGAACAAGGCCCAUGGGAAUUUCUGAUGAGGUCAAUUUGCCAGUUAAUGUGUUGCCAGUAUCAUUUCCAGGACACGGUCAUGGUCAGACUUUUAAUGCGCCAGAUGACUUGCCAAAGACUCUUGCUCGGACUUUGAAUCAGGGAUCAUCUCCUAUGAGCAUGGAUUUCCAUCCUGUUCAGCAGACUAUUCUUCUAGGUCUUUUGUUUUCUAGUCUUUCAUUUGGUUGAUAUUGUGUAUUAUUUUGUAUAUUAACAUCCUUUAAGCAUUCUUGGUAUGUGGUCAUUGUGUGUUCUUAAUAUGCUGCUACAGUUGGUACCAAUGUGGGAGAUGUUGGGCUGUGGGAAGUUGGUUCUAGGGAACGACUGGUGUUAAGAAACUUCAAAGUUUGGGAUCUUAGCACAUGUUCAAUGCCUCUGCAGACAGCUCUAGUUAAAGAUCCUGGUGUGUCUGUGAACCGUGUGAUUUGGAGUCCUGAUGGCUCCUUAUUUGGAGUUGCAUACUCAAGGCACAUUGUACAAAUAUAUUCUUACCAGGGUGGUGAUGAUGUAAGGCAGCACUUAGAGAUUGAUGCUCAUGUUGGUGGAGUAAAUGAUCUUGCAUUCUCCACCCCUAAUAAGCAACUUUGUGUAAUAACUUGCGGUGAUGACAGGACCAUCAAGGUAUGGGAUGCUGCUACUGGUACAAAACAGUAUACUUUUGAAGGUCAUGAGGCACCUGUUUAUUCUGUCUGCCCUCACCAUAAGGAAAACAUUCAGUUUAUUUUUUCAACCGCAUUAGAUGGGAAGAUAAAGGCAUGGUUGUAUGACAAUUUGGGAUCUCGUGUUGAUUAUGAGGCUCCUGGUCGCUGGUGCACAACCAUGGCUUACAGUGCUGAUGGUACAAGGCUUUUUUCAUGUGGGACAAGUAAAGAGGGGGAGUCGCAUAUUGUUGAGUGGAAUGAAAGUGAAGGUAAUGUGAAAAGGAGCUAUCUAGGUUUCCGCAAACGUUCUUUGGGUGUUGUUCAAUUUGAUACUACAAAGAACCGAUAUUUGGCUGCUGGUGAUGAUUUCUCUAUCAAGUUUUGGGAUAUGGACAAUAUUCAAAAUUUGACAUCAAUCGAUGCUGAUGGAGGUCUUCCAGCAAGCCCACGUAUCCGCUUCAACAAAGAUGGCACUCUCUUGGCAGUUUCUGCCAAUGAGAAUGGUAUUAAAAUAUUGGCAAAUUCGGAUGGUCUUAGAUUGUUGCGUUCGUUUGAGAAUCUUUCUUAUGAUGCCUCACGAGCAUCUGAAACUGUUACAAAGCCCAUAAUUAACCCAAUCUCAGCAGCAGCAGCAGCGGCGGCGGCAGCUGCAGCUGCAACUAGUUCUGGACUUGCAGAUAGAAGUGCUUCUGUGGUUACUAUUCCAGGAAUGAAUGGAGAUGCUCGGAACUUGGGAGAUGUGAAACCUAGAAUAACUGAAGAAGCCAAUGACAAGUCGAAGAUAUGGAAACUCACUGAAAUUAAUGAACCAUCUCAAUGUCGGUCCUUAAGGCUUCCUGAAAACUUGAGAGUGAACAAGAUAUCAAGGUUAAUUUAUACAAAUUCAGGUAAUGCCAUUUUGGCAUUAGCAUCAAAUGCAAUUCAUCUGCUAUGGAAGUGGCAACGAAGUGAUCGUAAUUCAACUGGCAAGGCAACUGCCAGUGUGUCACCUCAAUUAUGGCAACCCUCAAGUGGCAUUCUGAUGACCAAUGACAUUACUGACACUAACCCUGAAGAGGCUGUGCCAUGUUUUGCUUUGUCCAAAAAUGAUUCUUAUGUUAUGUCAGCAUCUGGAGGAAAGAUUUCCCUUUUUAAUAUGAUGACAUUUAAGACAAUG
rnacentral:misc_RNA from 1 species